rnacentral:tRNA from 1 species
UAUUUUGGCAGAUAAGUGCUAUGGAUUUAGAAUUCAUUUAUGUAAGAAUUUUCUUACAAAUA